AUGAUUGUACCUCCUGUUUAUUUGGAUAAAGAAGCUAUGUUUGAUCAUCAUUUUCUUGAGAGGAAUGAACAAUUCCUCCAUUAUCGACUAAUCUAUGACAGAUGCAACGUCAUCCCUGUUACUCUUCCUGCUCCCUACCUUUUUGAUUAUCAGGUAAAAGGAAGAUAUGUUGUCACCAGGGAAGAAGCAACUGAAUAUGAGAGGGGAAUGGAGGUAGCUUGCCAACACGCUGCUGCUCAGGAGGCGGUCGCCUCUGCAUCUCAGUACUACCCCAGUUUCACUUAUGGAUAUCAGCCAGGCGGUCCUUGGUACUAG
rnacentral:rRNA from 1 species